AUGGGCUGCAGGCUGCUCUGCUGUGCGGUUCUCUGUCUCCUGGGAGCAGUUCCCAUAGACACUGAAGUUACCCAGACACCAAAACACCUGGUCAUGGGAAUGACAAAUAAGAAGUCUUUGAAAUGUGAACAACAUAUGGGGCACAGGGCUAUGUAUUGGUACAAGCAGAAAGCUAAGAAGCCACCGGAGCUCAUGUUUGUCUACAGCUAUGAGAAACUCUCUAUAAAUGAAAGUGUGCCAAGUCGCUUCUCACCUGAAUGCCCCAACAGCUCUCUCUUAAACCUUCACCUACACGCCCUGCAGCCAGAAGACUCAGCCCUGUAUCUCUGCGCCAGCAGCCAAGA